GCCGCGUGUGUGAGAAGGCCUGAGGGUUGAAAGCACUUUCAGUGGGGAGGAGGAUAGCAUGGUUAAGAGCUGAGCUAUUGGACGUUACCUACAGAAGAAGCACCGGCUAACUCCGUGCCAGCAGCCGCGGUAAUACGGAGGGUGCGAGCGUUAAUCGGAAUUACUGGGCGUAAAGGGUGCGUAGGUGGUUAAAUAAGUUAGAUGUAAAAACCCUGGGCUUAACCUAGGACUGAGAUUUAAUACUGUUUAACUAGAGUAUGGGAGAGGGUAGUGGAAUUUCCGGUGUAGCGGUGAAAUGCGUAGAGAUCGGAAGGAACACCAGUGGCGAAGGCGGCUACCUGGCCUAAUACUGACACUGAGGCACGAAAGCGUGGGGAGCAAACAGGAUUAGAUACCCUGGUAGUCCACGCUGUAAACGAUGUCAACUAGCCGUUGG
rnacentral:rRNA from 1 species